UGCCAAUCAGCAUUGAAUCCAAAAUAUUUCAUCAAAACACGAAUAAACGAGUUUCACCAAGUAUGAUUACAUUUAAAGUUAAAAUAAGCAGAGCAAACAUGCUAUAUAUCCAUUGUUAUGCAAAUAAAAAACAUGACUCUUCAAUCUCGUGAAUUAGACAUGCACUGAUUCUCAUCAAAGUUAUUCUCUUCAUCCUCAAUAGUAUCAUCUUUCUCAUUACCAUUAUUCUCUAUUGACAAUGGUAUAAAUGGUGGUACAAUGAAGUCAGGAACUUUAUCACAUAGUCAGUGCAUAGAAUGAUUCCAAGAUUAUAAUAUAGAAUUGAAUUGUUGCUCAACAACCUUUAGCUUAUUUUGCAUAUUUUGCUCCAUGUUUACUUGAGCUACAUCAACUACCUUUCGAGCAACAUGUUCUGCUUCCAACUCUUCCCCAAAUUGUGUACAUUGGAAGAAGAUAUCCUAAUAUCUCAAAGGCGACCAUCUUCUAACCCAAGAAUUUAGCGCCUGGGCUUCAUACCUAGAACGAACAUCAUGAUAUCAAUUUCGGCAUCAGGAUCAUCUAUCGGUAUCUCCUCCAAAGGGAUAUCUUUAGGAAGUUGCUAAUCCUUUGCCUCUCUAUAAGAUAUUCAUGCUUUUUGACAAGCAUUUCAUCCUACAAAUAUAACCAACAAGAUAUAUAAAACAGUCCAUAAAAUCAAAGUUUGCAAGAGAUAACACAACUGUACACAAGAGACAUAGCACAAGCUAAGAAAUAUAAUCAUCUCUCAAAAACAUUUUGACCAUGAUAGUGUCAGUUUCCGAAAU
rnacentral:lncRNA from 1 species